rnacentral:lncRNA from 10 species
CCGUCUCAAAAAAAAAAAAAGAAAACAAAUUCUUUUUCUAUGGUAUUCUGUUUUGCUCUUCACCAUCACGUGUCUCAGUGGAGAUUUCACUUACUUAUCCUGUUAGUAACUCAUUUUUUGCUUCCUGAAUUUGGGGUUUCUUACCUUUCUUGAAGUCCGGAAAAAUAUCAGCCAUUUUAUUUUAUUUUUAUUUUAUUUUUUUUGAGACAGAGUCUCACUCUGUCGCCCAAGCUGGAGUGCAGUGGCGCGAUCUCAGCUCACUGCAGCCUCUGCCUCCUGGGGUCAAGCGAUUCUUCUGCCUCAGCCUCCCGAGUGGUUGGGACUACAGGCAGGCGCCACCACGCCCAGCUAAUUUUUGUAUUUUUAGUAGAGAUGGGGUUUCACCAUAUUGGCUAAGAUAGUCUCGAACUCCUGACCUCGUGAUCUGCCCACCUCGGCCUCCCAAAGUGCUGGAAUUACAGGCGUGACCCACCACACCCUGCAAACAUCAGCCAUUUUAUAGUUCUCUCCAUUCUGUUCUCUCCUUCUGCAACUUCUAUUAAAGCCUGUAUUGGACCUUUUAAAGCCUGUAUUGGACCUUUUUACUUUAUUUUUGUAGUCUCCUACCCUCCCUUGUUUGCUGCGCUUCCUUGAGUAAAUUCCUCAGAACUACCUUUAAAAUCUGUUGUCUCUAAUAUAGUUUAACUCAUCCAUUGAAUCUUUUUUCUUUUUCCUUUUUUUUACAGAGUCUCAUUUGGUUGCCCAGGCUGGAGUGCAGUGGCACAAUCUUGGCUUACUGCAACCUCUGCCCCCAGGAUUCAUGUGAUUCUCCUGCCUCAGCCUCCUGAGUAGCUGAGAUUACCAGCGCAUGCCACCACGCCCAGCUAAUUUUUGUAUUUUUAGUAGAGAUGGGGUUUCACCAUAUUGGCCAAGAUAGUCUCGAACUCCUGACCUCAUGAUCUGCCCACCUCGGUCUCCUAAAGUGCUGGGAUUACAGGCGUGAGCCACCGCACCUGGCCUUUGAAUCGUGUUUAUAGGUCACAGGUGCCUGAGAGUAAAGCCAGUCCAGGGAGAUUCUUGACGUUAAUAUUUAACUUCGUGUGUUGACAGACCACAUAAAUGGUAUAUACCUUGAAAAUCAAAAUGCACAUGAACACAAACUCCUGGUGAAAAAGUUUUGAGGGAUGAUUUCAUCUCUCCCAGUCCACAGCCCAGACCAAAACAGGCAAGUUUCCCUCCACUUCCCUAUGCUGGGGGGUGACGGGGUGGAAGGGGCCAGAUUUUUUUUUUUCUAGUUCACCUAUGUGCACUGCCCUUAAAAGGGUCCUGGCUUGGCUGGGCAUGGUGGCUGUUUGUAAUCCCAGCACUUUGGGAAGCUGCGGUGAGAUCACUUGAGCCAAGGAGUUCGAGACCAUCCUGGGCAACAUAGCAAGACCCCAUCUCUACAAAAACAUUUUAAAAUAAAAAAAAUAAGGGUGAAUUACUUACAUACCUUAUCUCAUCUUAAGCCCCAAAGUUAACUGUGUCAUGCGGGUUUUUAGUUUCCUUUUAGUUCUCUCUGGCCACUGGAGAUUGUACUUUAUGGUGAGCUGAUUUGUAUCAUAGUUCUACUCAGCAUUUCCAUGUGUCCUGUAUUAUAUGAAAUACACAUCAUUUGUGUGUUUCAAAGCAUUUAAAUUACCCCACUGGGGCACAGAGCAAGGUUAUA